rnacentral:rRNA from 1 species
UACGUAGGGGGCAAGCGUUGUCCGGAUUUAUUGGGCGUAAAGAGCGUGUAGGCGGCUUUACAGGUCCGUUGUGAAAACUCGAGGCUCAACCUCGAGACGCCGGUGGAAACCGUAAAGCUAGAGUCCGGAAGAGGAGAGUGGAAUUCCUGGUGUAGCGGUGAAAUGCGCAGAUAUCAGGAGGAACACCGGUGGCGAAGGCGGGUCUCUGGGCCGAGAUUGACGCUGAGGAGCGAAAGCGUGGGGAGCGAACAGG